rnacentral:rRNA from 1 species
AUCAACUUUCGAUGGUAGGAUAGAGGCCUACCAUGGUGGUGACGGGUGACGGAGAAUUAGGGUUCGAUUCCGGAGAGGGAGCCUGAGAAACGGCUACCACAUCCAAGGAUGGCAGCAGGCGCGCAAAUUACCCAAUCCCGACACGGGGAGGUAGUGACAAUAAAUAACAAUACGGGGUUCUUUAGGAUCUCGUAAUUGGAAUGAGUACAAUUUAAAUCUCUUAACGAGGAACAAUUGGAGGGCAAGUCUGGUGCCAGCAGCCGCGGUAAUUCCAGCUCCAAUAGCGUAUAUUAAAGUUGUUGCAGUUAAAAAGCUCGUAGUUGAAUUUCGGGACCAAUUUGUUGGUCGUGCCUCGGUACGUACUGAUAUUAUUGGUUUCUCCCUUCUGAAGAACCUUGAUGCCAUUAAUUUGGUGUCUUGGGGAAUCAGGACUGUUACUUUGAAAAAAUUAGAGUGUUUAAAGCAGGCAUACGCUUGAAUACAUUAGCAUGGAAUAAUGAAAUAGGACGUUUGAUUCUAUUUUGUUGGUUUCUAGGAUCGACGUAAUGAUUAAUAGGGAUAGUUGGGGGCAUUAGUAUUCAAUUGUCAGAGGUGAAAUUCUUGGAUUUAUUGAAGACUAACUACUGCGAAAGCAUUUGCCAAGGAUGUUUUCAUUAAUCAAGAACGAAAGUUAGGGGAUCGAAGACGAUCAGAUACCGUCGUAGUCUUAACCAUAAACUAUGCCGACUAGGGAUCGGAUGAUGUUAAUUUUUUAAUGACUCAUUCGGCGCCUUACGGGAAACCAAAGUGUUUGGGUUC